UACAGAGGGUGCGAGCGUUAAUCGGAAUUACUGGGUGUAAAGCGCGCGUAGGCGGCUUUGCAAGUCGGGUGUGAAAUCCCCAGGCUUAACCUGGGAACUGCAUUCGAGACUGCAUUGCUAGAGUAUGGGAGAGGGAAGUGGAAUUUCCGGUGUAGCGGUGAAAUGCGUAGAUAUCGGAAGGAACAUCAGUGGCGAAAGCGACUACCUGGCCUGUUCUUGACGUGAGGAGCGAAAGCAUGGGGGAGCGAACAGG
rnacentral:rRNA from 1 species